rnacentral:lncRNA from 1 species
AAGAGGCUCAGAUGGGAAGGGAAGCAGGACACUUGGGGAGGACACCUGAGAGAAAAAGCCCUCAGGGACCCCAAAGUCGACCCCCAAUCUGUCACGAGGUUUCCACGCUCCGUUCAUGAAGAACAGACCCCUUUUCUUUUUCUUUUUUCCCCUUUUAGAGCUGCAGGGUCAUGUGGAAGUUCCCAGGGUAGGGGUCAAAAUGGAGCGAAGGCUGCUGGCCUACACCACAGCUCAGAGCAAUGCCGGAUCCUUUAACCCACUGAGUGGGGCCAGGGAUGGAACCUGCAUCCUCAUGGAUACUAGUCGGAUUCGUUUCUGCUGUGCCACAAUGGGAACUCCCAACAGACCCCUUUUCUAAAUGACAAGUCAGAGGUUAGCAAAUUGCAAGCCCAAGGUUCAAGACAGGUGUUUCUAGGUCCAGAGCCCUGCCCAGCAUUAAAAACAAAGGACAGUCUGACCCCAGGGAAUGUGUUAAAGCCUCUGGCACUUGGGCCACCCAAGGAGACUAGAAAGGCCCAUCGGACUUGAAGGCAUAGGUGUGUCCUGUGCCUGAGGUGAGGCAGUUGCUGGGGGGUUGGGGGAGUCAGAGUCUCUUGUAAACAACUUCACAACUCUGGGAGGAUCCAGGCAGUUCCAUCAACCCACCUUUAACCCCGUAUCUGAGCCUGGAGGUGUGUCCAGGGAGGGGCAGGUGGGAUCUGCCCCUUCUCACACAAUGAAGUGAACGAACAAAGCCCUUUGAGAGGUGGGUGUUUCUCUCUCCAAGUAAAACAAUGACACACACUCCUCCCUAUAUCCCACACCAGACGCAGUAAAAGAGGCAAAACCAAGCCAAACAGGUGACCAGACUUAAAUGAGCAGCAUCCUGCUCUUCAUUUCUGUGUCUUGGCUUGAGGUAAGAAUUUUCAUCAGGGGUGAAAGAGAGGAGGGGAGAGGCUCAGAUGGAAGGAAAAGAAGAACAUUUUCAGAGCCCCUUAAAGAGACCAGGCACUGGGAUGGAUGCAAACUGCUACCAAGGGCCCGCUGCCUUUGCUCUCCCCAUUCAUGACAACGGCCAAGCUGCCCAGAUGCCAAAAGCAGUGCAAACCAGAUCUGGGAACUCUGCGGGGCCAGUAUUCAGUCCAACGCUUUUAGGGCUCCAAUGUCUGCCUCUGCAGGAUCUGAAGGCAAUCAGAAUUCUUUUAUGGA